GUAGAGUAGUCGGAGUAUGAUGGUGCUGACCUGACACGCAGCACCAAGGAUAUUUCUUCGGAUCACAUCAUUCAGCACUUCAUUCGACAUACAGGAUUCAUGCCAAAUGGGCUGCAUUCAGAGGAACAACUUGUUCACAGGGACAGAUAUGGCUCCCCCCAGAACUGAAUGCUUGGAUCAUACAUAUAGUCAUCAGUCGCUAUGCUGAUUCCUGAUGGGAGGAGACGUGAGAGCUAGUCCUCAGCAGAAAAUGUUUCUUGCAUUUGUCCCGCACACUUGCAGGGUCCGCUGUUUUUAUAGCGGAUCAAUCGACCCUCGUGAUUUGGCACAGGUUUUACGCCGGAUGCCCUUCCUGUCGCAACCCUCCCAUUUUUAUCCAGGCUUGGGACUGGCACUGAGAGUCAACUCUUCACCGGCUGGGGUGGCGCCCCGCCUGGGAAUCGAACCCAAGCCACGGCAAUGAGCCUCCUGCCGCUGAACCACCAGGAGGCCCAUGAA